CCCCGAGUUUUUUUACUAUUUCGAACUAUAAAUUCAACUUUAACUUACUCCUCAGAAUGUCAAAAGUGAAACAAAUCGGUUUAGACCUCAUCAUUCUAGUCAUAAUGUGCAUUUGUUUUGAUAAAUUGCUCGCUUACCGUGCACAAUUUAAUGGAAAAAUCUCGUGAUUUCUCCAUUUAAUUUAAUUCACUUCUUUGAAUAUUCCGCAG
rnacentral:lncRNA from 1 species